UGUUCCCCAGAGCAGUGCAAUCAGUGCUGGCAAACUGAAGCUGCAAGUGUCCGAGGGACCCUGGGACAUCUUUGGGGUCUGCGUAGGUACCUAUGGAGGAGCAGAGAUGGCAGAUGAAGGAGGCCGUGGAGGAGAAAAGGAACACAGGAAUUCACCAGAAAUUGGCAGGCUGUGGAAUUGAUGGAGUCCACUUACUGUCCAGGCCUAAGGGGGUCCAAUAAUCCCAUCCUUUGCCGAACGCUUCACUGUGGUACUGGCAUCAUUUCAAGCAUUUAAUCCUCGUUCCAACUCUACGAGGAAGAAAAGCACAGAUGUGGUCCUGGCUGGAGAGGGAAGAAUCCCACUGCUCUUCUCAUUUGAGGAUCUCAAGGCACAUCAAAAAACAUCUGCUGAGGACGUGGCAGACCCUAAAGAUGUCUCGGUCAAAGUUGCCCUCCCUAGAGAGUUCCAGUCCCAGUCUGGUCCCAGUCCAGUCCACACAGAGCAUUCACCGACACUCCUCAAAUCCUCCAUCAUCUGCGCAAGUGGAGUAGAUAAAGUUCGUAAGAAUCUGGGAUCUCAUUCACCACCUCUUUUCCCAUCUUUCCAUGGCAUUGGGCUCCUCCUGGGACACCUGCUUCCCUGUUUUCUGUUGCUUCCUCCUGCCUUAAGAUGGUGACAUUGAGCAGACAUGAUCAAAAGAUGUCCCCAGAAGCCAACCUUCUCUAAGCAGAAUCUGAUUCUGGGUUCUCUGAAUGCUGCCUCUCCACUACCCCACAAAGAAAGCUGAAACUGGGGAGCUUCUUGUUAAGGGAGAAACAGUUUUCUUCUUGCCUUUCCUAGUGAGUUCUUUCUACCUGGAAGAUGGAUGUGUGGCCUGGAGCUGCAGCAGCUAUUUUGUGUCCACAAGGAAGUCCCAUAUCCUAA